rnacentral:lncRNA from 13 species
GGUGUGUGACAACUGCAAAAAGUUGUUAAAUUGUGCUUCUAAAAUAUGUGAGAGCUGCAAAGCUGUGCAGCCUUUCAAGAAGUACCACAAAUUACGCAAUAAGGCAAUGGACAAGACACUGAUGGAAUGGGCAAGAAAGACCAUCCUGCACAACAACGUUGCCAGGUUCCUGGACUCACUUUUUAUAAUGCUCCGUAAAGUACAUGCUCUGGGAUUUAGGCCCAUCCUCCUCAUAGGGAAGCAGUCCCGCGGAGGCUGCUGGGGAGUAGAAAUCAUGAUGCCCACCAACCCUCAGCCAGGUCUGGAGGAGGACUGCCUCCAGGAGCUGCUCAAAUACUAUGAAUCUUUACUGAAGCAUAUGCCUGACAACCAGUCCCCCACCAACUCCACAAAAGCCACCAGUGGUAGUGCCCUGGAAGGACAAGAGGGACAGGAUGGAAACGUGGGUGACGUUAGCACUGGGGAAGGAGUGGACAAAAGGGCUGCAGAUGUGGAAGUGGGAGAAGACGAUGGAGAUAGAACUGAGGGAGAUGAAGAGGACAUGGAACCUGACUACCGGCCACCUGCCAAGAAGACAAAGUAGAGUGAGCUGCACUACACCACAGAG